rnacentral:rRNA from 1 species
CUAAUACAUGCAGUCGAACGAUAGAUAGAAGCUUGCUUUUAUCGAAAGUGGCGCACGGGUGCGUAACGCGUAUGCAACCUACCUUAAUCUGGGGGAUAGCCCGGAGAAAUCCGGAUUAACACCGCAUAAAAACACAGGAUAGCAUUAUCCAAUGUUCAAAUAUUUAUAGGAUUGAGAUGGGCAUGCGUGUCAUUAGCUAGUUGGCGGGGUAACGGCCCACCAAGGCGACGAUGACUAGGGGAUCUGAGAGGAUGGCCCCCCACACUGGUACUGAGACACGGACCAGACUCCUACGGGAGGCAGCAGUAAGGAAUAUUGGUCAAUGGAGGCAACUCUGAACCAGCCAUGCCGCGUGCAGGAAGACUGCCCUAUGGGUUGUAAACUGCUUUUAUCCGGGAAUAAACCUGCUUACGUGUAAGUAGCUGAAUGUACCGGAAGAAUAAGGAUCGGCUAACUCCGUGCCAGCAGCCGCGGUAAUACGGAGGAUCCAAGCGUUAUCCGGAUUUAUUGGGUUUAAAGGGUGCGUAGGCGGCCUGUUAAGUCAGGGGUGAAAGACGGUAGCUCAACUAUCGCAGUGCCCUUGAUACUGAUGGGCUUGAAUGGACUAGAGGUAGGCGGAAUGAGACAAGUAGCGGUGAAAUGCAUAGAUAUGUCUCAGAACACCGAUUGCGAAGGCAGCUUACUAUGGUCUUAUUGACGCUGAGGCACGAAAGCGUGGGGAUCAAACAGGAUUAGAUACCCUGGUAGUCCACGCCCUAAACGAUGAACACUCGCUGUUGGCGAUACACAGUCAGCGGCUAAGCGAAAGCGUUAAGUGUUCCACCUGGGGAGUACGCCCGCAAGGGUGAAACUCAAAGGAAUUGACGGGGGCCCGCACAAGCGGAGGAGCAUGUGGUUUAAUUCGAUGAUACGCGAGGAACCUUACCCGGGCUUGAAAGUUAGUGAAUGAUCUAGAGAUAGAUCAGUCCGCAAGGACACGAAACUAGGUGCUGCAUGGCUGUCGUCAGCUCGUGCCGUGAGGUGUUGGGUUAAGUCCCGCAACGAGCGCAACCCCUAUGUUUAGUUGCCAGCACGUUAUGGUGGGGACUCUAAACAGACUGCCUGUGCAAACAGAGAGGAAGGAGGGGACGACGUCAAGUCAUCAUGGCCCUUACGUCCGGGGCUACACACGUGCUACAAUGGAUGGUACAGAGGGCAGCUACAUAGCAAUAUGAUGCGAAUCUCACAAAGCCAUUCACAGUUCGGAUUGGGGUCUGCAACUCGACCCCAUGAAGUUGGAUUCGCUAGUAAUCGCGUAUCAGCAAUGACGCGGUGAAUACGUUCCCGGGCCUUGUACACACCGCCCGUCAAGCCAUGGAAGCUGGGGGUACCUAAAGUAUGUAACCGCAAGGAGCGUCCUAGGUAAACC